rnacentral:tRNA from 1 species
UCCCUGGCAGUCCAGUGGUUAGGACUUGGCGCUUUCACUGCUGGGGCCCAGGUUUGAUCCCUGGUCGAGGAA